rfam:Folsomia candida strain VT population Fcan01_Sc004, whole genome shotgun sequence.
UGAGCAUGAUGAGUUAAAACUUCGGUCCGUGUUUAUGAAUUUUAUGAUUUCCAUCGAAGUACUGAUGUA